AUUGAACGCUGGCGGCAGGCCUAACACAUGCAAGUCGAGCGGUAGAGAGAAGCUUGCUUCUCCUGAGAGCGGCGGACGGGUGAGUAAUGCCUGGGAAUCUGCCUGGUAGUGGGGGAUAACGUUCGGAAACGGACGCUAAUACCGCAUACGUCCUACGGGAGAAAGCAGGGGACCUUCGGGCCUUGCGCUAUCAGAUGAGCCUAGGUCGGAUUAGCUAGUUGGUGGGGUAAUGGCUCACCAAGGCGACGAUCCGUAACUGGUCUGAGAGGAUGAUCAGUCACACUGGAACUGAGACACGGUCCAGACUCCUACGGGAGGCAGCAGUGGGGAAUAUUGGACAAUGGGCGAAAGCCUGAUCCAGCCAUGCCGCGUGUGUGAAGAAGGUCUUCGGAUUGUAAAGCACUUUAAGUUGGAGGAAGGGCAGUAAAUUAAUACUUUGCUGUUUUGACGUUACCGACAGAAUAAGCACCGGCUAACUCUGUGCCAGCAGCCGCCGUAA
rnacentral:rRNA from 1 species